rnacentral:rRNA from 1 species
UACGUAGGGGGCAAGCGUUGUCCGGAUUUAUUGGGCGUAAAGCGCGCGCAGGUGGUGGAUUAAGUUGUGGGUAAAAGGCAUUGGCUCAACCAAUGUAAGCCUGCAAAACUUGGUUCACUUGAGUGCAGGAGAGGGGAGUGGAAUUCCCGGUGUAGCGGUGGAAUGCGUAGAUAUCGGGAGGAACACCAGUGGCGAAGGCGACUCUCUGGCCUGUAACUGACACUGAGGCGCGAAAGCGUGGGUAGCAAACAGG